rnacentral:rRNA from 1 species
UACGUAGGGUGCAAGCGUUAAUCGGAAUUACUGGGCGUAAAGCGUGCGCAGGCGGUUUUGUAAGACUGUCGUGAAGUCCCCGGGCUUAACCUGGGAAUGGCGAUGGUGACUGCAAGGCUAGAGUUUGGCAGAGGGGGGUAGAAUUCCACGUGUAGCAGUGAAAUGCGUAGAGAUGUGGAGGAACACCGAUGGCGAAGGCAGCCCCCUGGGUCAAAACUGACGCUCAUGCACGAAAGCGUGGGGAGCAAACAGG